rnacentral:rRNA from 1 species
GCUUACAGCCACACCAGUGUGAAUGCGCCCGAUCUCGUCUGAUCUCAGAAGCUAAACACGCGUGGGCUUAGCCAAUACUUGGAUGGGAGACCGCCUAGGAACACCGAGUGCUGUAAGCU